ensembl:lncRNA
GGCUUGAACGAGGAGGGGUUUCGCCUUGAGCAACAGGAUGUUCCCCGGAAGAGGGCACCCAAAUGGUUUCUUCCAUCCCUGCCCUAAGGACAUCAGCCCCUCCGCCUACCCUGACGACUUUCGCAGGGAUGACGAGGGCAUGGGGUGGGCGCCCCAGGACCAUCAGGAGGCAGCCAACUGGGAUUACCGACACGGGAGACGCGAGGAAGGCUUCAGGGACAGGUGGCACUCGCCCUUUUCCCGAGACAUCGAACCCUACCCCGCUGACUUUUACGGGGGUGACAAGGGCGGGUGCUGGGCACCCCAGGACCAUCAGCAGCCAGCCAGUUGGGAGAACCAACCCGGGAGGCACGAGGAAGGCUUCAGGGGUGGUUGGCACUCGCCCUUUUCCCGAGACAUCGAACCCUACCCCGCUGACUUUUACGGGGGUGACAACGGUGGGUGCUGGGCACCCCAGGACCAUCAGCAGCCAGCCAGGUGGGAGAACCAAUCUGGGAGACCUGAGGAAGGCUUCAGGGAUGGGUGGCACUCGGCCACGCCAUCAAACCAGCACUGCCUGGAGUCAAUAUCGAGGGAGGAACAUGGCAACUCCUGGGACAGGGAGCAAGACUUCUUCCCCAGGAAGUACCGUGGCCGUGGCUGGAAGCAUCACCGCGGUCCUUUCCGAGGCGGCUACCGAGGGGAAUUUGCCCCUCACUACCACCGCUUUCAGUCUUACUCUUCCAGAGAAAAGUUCAAGUCGUCCAGGUCGUCGGCCUCCCUGGGAGAUUCCAGCCUCUGCUCUUUUUCCUUCCUCCAGUCGAGUAGAAAGAAAAGUUUCUCUUCUAAGACAGAGAAAGCGAAAUCAGCAGCACCCAAGAAGCCUGGAAGAUCCAAGAAAGACUCCGCAGCUCCAGUGAAAGAACCCAAACCGCCCCAGGUCCAGCCGGAAGCUAGCCAGCCAGCCACAGACCCUUCCAGCCAGGCCGGCUCUGCGCUGGAUACUGAACCCCCGGCUUCACCCGAAACCACAGAGGAUCUUCAUCCCAUGGGAACGGAAGGAAUUGAGCUGGUCCAGCUGGAGUCUGCAGACAAUCACAGCCAGGCCUGCUGCACUCUGGCGACUGACUCAGUCCUGGCUGACACCCCGGAGGAUCUUUGUCUCCCGGAGGAAGAAAUCAAGCUGGUCCAAUUGGAAGCCAGCCACGAAGCCAUAGACCAUCCCAGCCAGGCCGGCUCUGAUCUGCCUGCUGAGCCCCCAGCCCCACCUGAAACUACAGAGGAGCUUCAUCCCAUCAGAACAGAAGAUACUGAGCUGCUCCAGCUGGAAGACAACCUGAAGGCCCCAGAUCUUCUCAGCCAGGCUGUCUCUGCUCUAGCUGCUUUACCUCCACUCUGGUCUGAGAUCACAGAGGAGCUGCCGCCCGUGGGAAAGGAAGAAACUGAGCUGGAGCAGCUGGCCGCUCAUCAGGAGGAUGCAGGCUAUCCUUACCAGGCCUGCUCUGCUCUGGCUACCCCAGCGGAGUACCUUCGUUCUGCUGCCAUACUGGCCAGAAAGGAAGAAAUUGAGCUAGUAAGUUCUAACUGUCCCCUCUUGCUCACCCAGGAGCAGGGUCGGACCUAGAUGCAUUGAGGCUCUUGAUGUGUGCAGGAUCUGGGUUUCCCUUCCCUUCCCAAACCACCUCCAUCAUCUGCAUGGCUCGCCCCAAAUCAACAGCUGCAGUGAGGGCUUCAAAGCAGGUGCAAUAGGUUCAGGGAGGGUGUUUCAUGUGUCUGCUAUCCAUGAAUGACCAGUGUGAUCCUGGGUUGGGAAGAGUGAGGUUAGAGGCAAAACCCCACCACCAGCCAGGAGCGGUUCAGGACUAGGGAGUUUGGUGCCAGGAAGUCAAAGCAACCUCACUCCUAGCCCAGUCCUCCUCCUUGAUUCGUUUUUGAUGCCUGUGGCCGUCACGGCAUGCGAAAAAUAUUCUUCCUCCUGGAUUCACACUCUGCUGGAGAGUGGAUUAAAUGGCCAGGGACUGGGAGCAGUCUGAGGGCUGGCCCUGUUGUCUCAACACUCCCAGGUGAUUGGCUGGCCCAUCUGUCCACCCCUGCGGCUGAGACUCCAGAGCCUGACCCCUUGCAAGUUUCUCCUGGUAGCAAAGUGUUCUGGGCGGAGGGAGGGAACGGCCACACAGGAGCGGGGAGAGGUCCUCGGGCUGCCCAGCAGAGGUGCGUCAUGACAGCAGCAGGGAUCAAUGAAAGCACAUUAUUGCCCCAGCCCUAGGGGGUGCCACUGGCCUGAGUCGUAGAGUAGCUCGGAUCAUUUUCACGGGGCUGCCCGUCAGGCCUCAAUACAUCUGGGGGGAAUCUCAGGCACCCAGGUUGAGUUUAGGGACUUGCCUGCCCGCUGCCUCGUCUGACAAGCUCUCCUUCUCCCCUCCCUGCAGUCCUACCAGCAAUCCAGCCUGGCCUUUGCUGUGGUGGCCACCACGCUGUUGCACAAGGAGCCCUCCAUGGAGGCGGCGAUGGGGUCUGCGCUGCGGGCCAACCUGCGGCAGGUUGGGGGCCACUGCCUGCAGGAGCUGGAGCGCUUCAUUAGCAGCUACGACUCGGGCUCUGCCCGCUCCUGAGAGGCAGCACAGCGGGAGACAUCUGCUCUGGCUCUGAGUCUGAUGGGGGGGAGGGGGAAGCGCUGCUGGGGACUGGGGCUGGAGCCCCAGCAGUGGUUCUGGCUGGGAUGAGAAACCAGCAGCUAUGGACUUGUGCGGCUGCAGCCGGAGAACGGCAUGGAACGGGAAAGGGGCUGUUGGCUUGAAGUGGCCGGGAGGGUUAGUAAUUUGGGAGGGGAGGAGACGGCCUGGGGGAGGGCCGAGCGGUGCUAGGGCCAAAGGGGUCAGUAACCAUGGGGAUGGAUAGGUUGUGCCAGAGGGGCUGGGGAUGGGUACGGGGGUUGUCGGGCGGGGCUGACUGAAACCGACGCUGGGAGUGAUGGGCGACAGCCUCCUCGGGAGAACACUUGCAGCAGUUUCACCUGGCCAGGAUCGGGGCCCCUGAGCCCCGUGGUUUCAUUGAAGGAGAGGAGUCCCUGAAAGUCCUUGCUUGGCUUCCCUGAACACUGAAAUGUUUGUUUUCUGGAGAAAAUUGUUUUAUCUCUGAAAAAUAAAAUUGCAGGCGGAGGGCA